rnacentral:miRNA from 1 species
AUAAACUUUUCCCUUUUUAU